UAUAAUGAGCUUUACAAAGCCCAGCAGGUCACCAAAGCCUACAACUGAAAUCAAAGCACGGCGAUGCUAUCAAUAUGCAUGUCAAUCUAUCAAUCUGAAUCAGUCAAUGGUCAAUGAGUCUAUGCAGUACGAAAAUUCAAUAGUCAAUAAAGCCAGUCAAUGCAGCAGCAAGCGAAUCGAUAAAUCAACUCAAUAAAUCCAUGUCAAUCUCAAAGAAAUUCGUACGCAAUAGGAAAUCAAUCAAUCCGUCAAAUCAAUCGCUAUCAAAUCAAAUCAAUGCGGUCUAAUCAAUACUAUUUAUUCAAUGAAAUCAAACGAGGAAAGCAGUACGAUAAAUCUCAAGAUCAAUAAAUCCAUAGGCAGUAGUAACAAUAAAUCUAUAAGCAGAAAUCAAUGAAUCUAUAGGCAACAGUGUCAAUAAUUCUAUACUAUUCAUGUCCAUGCUAUCAAUACAAUAUAUAUAUCCAUCCAUUUCUAUAUCAAUGCUCAAUGUCGAUGCACAGCAAUCAAUCAGUGAAAUCAAUGAAAUCGUACGAUCUAGUAAAUCCAAUCAAAGUCGAUAAAGCAGGAAUCUAUAAAACAAUGAAUCCAUAAAUCAAUACAGUAAACAUGCAAUUCAAUACUAUAUACUGGACAAGUACAAUCAACUGGCUAUGUUGCUGUUGUAGAAUCCAUAUUGCUGUUGUAGAUAUCCAUACAUUGGUUCUAUCAAUAAGAGUCGUCACUCUUUUCGCCCGUCGGCAUUUUUAUAAACUCCUUAUGACUCCCAAUCGUUAUAUCAAUGAUCAAUGGUUUAAAGGAAAGCCCGUCGGCCCACCAUCCUGUACAGGUAUCAAUAUCAAUCUUCAACCAAUGUUCAACCAGGUUAUACGUGUGUUCCAGUAUCAAUAUCAAUCUUCAACCAAUGUUCAACCAGGUUAUACGUGUGUUCCAGUAUCAAUAAUCAAUCAAUAAUCAAUUCAAUAAUCAAUAUUAAAGCAAUCUAUAGCAAUUAUAUCAAUAAUCAUAAGCAUAUCAAUCUAAUCUAUCAAUUUCGGGAAAAUCAGAAAUCGUACGAAAAUCGGGCAGAGUAACGACAGUCGGUCAAAUUUACACAAAAAUCCUGCAAAAAGGCACAAGUUCCAAAUUCUUCCAAAUUACAGUAGAACAUUCACGACAUCAAUAUAAGACUAUUAUUCUAUAGAAUCCAAAUCAAAUCACGUC